GAUGAACGCUAGCUACAGGCUUAACACAUGCAAGUCGAGGGGUAACGAGAGGAAAGCUUGCUUUCCUUGUCGACGACCGGCGCACGGGUGAGUAACGCGUAUCCAACCUGCCCCCAACUAGGGAAUAACCUUGCGAAAGUAAGACUAAUACCCUAUAAUUUCCUCAGAUGACAUCUGACGAGGAAUAAAGAUUUAUCGGUUGUGGAUGGGGAUGCGCCUGAUUAGCUUGUUGGCGGGGUAACGGCCCGCCAAGGCAACGAUCAGUAGGGGUUCUGAGAGGAAGGUCCCCCACAUUGGAACUGAGACACGGUCCAAACUCCUACGGGAGGCAGCAGUGAGGAAUAUUGGUCAGUGGGCGGAAGCCUGAACCAGCCAAGUAGCGUGCAGGAUGACGGCCCUAUGGGUUGUAAACUGCUUUUAUACAGGAAUAAAGUUAGCCACGUGUGGUUAUUUGUAGGUACUGUAUGAAUAAGGACCGGCUAAUUCCGUGCCAGCCGCCGCCGUAA
rnacentral:rRNA from 1 species